AGCGCUUAUUUGUUCCAUUUAUUUGGGGGAAGAGUCGCUAAGAUUUCAGAGAUUCGUAACUAGCUUGUGCGCGGUAUCUGAUUUUCACUUUGGCAUUUGGAGGUGCUUUUGAAGGUGGUUUAUGUUACCUUUCCAAGACUUACCUGAUGAGAGACCUGCCAGACUGAGCCGCUUCCAUCAGCCAGACAUGAGAAUAAGGGUAUUUAGGCUCCAGGCUUGUCUGACUGAUCAGAGGAAUGGAUCAAUAGCCCUCAUUCAUUCUACUAUCUCUUUCUGGAAUCACAACUUAGGUUUGAGUAGGAGCAUCAUCUCACAGGUAACAGGCGCUUCAUUUAAAUCCCUCCUGUGCUGCUGGUAACAUACCUCCCAUUUAAUAGACGUGUGUGGACUAGAGGAGGCAUGAAACAUUAAGAGGGCAAACAGAAGGAGAAAAGUUAUUUGUUCCACAAAAAUUCCCUCAACAUCUCCCACAGGU
rnacentral:lncRNA from 10 species